rnacentral:rRNA from 1 species
UACGUAGGUGGCAAGCGUUGUCCGGAUUUAUUGGGUUUAAAGGGUGCGUAGGUGGCCCUGUAAGUCAGUGGUGAAAUAUCUCAGCUUAACUGAGAGGGUGCCAUUGAUACUGCAGGGCUUGAGUACAGAUGAGGUAGGCGGAAUUGACGGUGUAGCGGUGAAAUGCAUAGAUAUCGUCAAAAACACCGAUAGCGAAGGCAGCUUACCAAGCUGUAACUGACACUGAGGCACGAAAGUGUGGGGAUCAAACAGG